rnacentral:rRNA from 2 species
GACCUGAGCUCAGGCAAGAACACCCGCUGAACUUAAGCAUAUCAAUAAGCGGAGGAAAAGAAACUAACAAGGAUUCCCUUAGUAACGGCGAGUGAAACGGGAAUAGCCCAACUUGAAAAUCUCCCUUUGGAGAAUUGUAGUCUAUAGAAGCGUCCUCUGUGGCGGCCUGAGCCCAAGUCCACUGGAAAGUGGCGUCAGAGAGGGUGAGAACCCCGUCGGCUCUCGGCUUAGCUACUCCACGAGGUGCUUUCCACGAGUCGGGUUGUUUGGGAAUGCAGCCCAAAAUUGGAGGUAAAUCCCUUCUA